UUUAUCCAUACAUCCAUCAAUGGACAUUUGGGCUGCUUCCAUAAUUUGGUUAUUGUAAAUACCACUGCAAUAAACAGAGGGGUACAUAUAUCCUCCCAGAUUAAUGUUUUCAUUUUGUUU